UACGUAGGGUGCAAGCGUUAAUCGGAAUUACUGGGCGUAAAGCGCGCGCAGGCGGUCUUCCAAGUCAGUGGUGAAAGCCUGGAGCUCAACUCCAGAACUGCCAUUGAAACUGUUAGACUUGAGUACGAGAGAGGUGAGUGGAAUUCCCAGUGUAGAGGUGAAAUUCGUAGAUAUUGGGAAGAACACCAGUGGCGAAGGCGGCUCACUGGCUCGUAACUGACGCUCAGGCGCGACAGCGUGGGGAUCAAACAGG
rnacentral:rRNA from 1 species